rnacentral:miRNA from 1 species
GCAAAGGCGCUGUUUCCCAGUG